CUAUACUGUGAAAGCUGUCCAAAGACAGCAGGUGUCGCAAAGACGUAAAGGGUUAUUUCCCGCCUGCCGAGGAGAUGCGUUUUGGCUGUUGCAGUUUUUUUGUAAUAGAUAAAUGCUCUUUCCGCGGUGAUGGGCGGAGAGGGCUUUUUCGUUUUGAUA
rfam:Anaerotruncus sp. G3(2012) genomic scaffold acPFl-supercont1.9, whole genome shotgun sequence.